rnacentral:tRNA from 1 species
GGGGUUGUGGCUCAGUGGUAAAGCACUUGCCUAGCACAUGCAAGAUGCUGGGUUCGAUCCUCAGCACCA